rnacentral:rRNA from 1 species
UGCCUGAUGGAGGGGGAUAACUACUGGAAACGGUAGCUAAUACCGCAUAACGUCGCAAGACCAAAGAGGGGGACCUUCGGGCCUCUUGCCAUCGGAUGUGCCCAGAUGGGAUUAGCUUGUUGGUGGGGUAACGGCUCACCAAGGCGACGAUCCCUAGCUGGUCUGAGAGGAUGACCAGCCACACUGGAACUGAGACACGGUCCAGACUCCUACGGGAGGCAGCAGUGGGGAAUAUUGCACAAUGGGCGCAAGCCUGAUGCAGCCAUGCCGCGUGUAUGAAGAAGGCCUUCGGGUUGUAAAGUACUUUCAGCGGGGAGGAAGGGAGUAAAGUUAAUACCUUUGCUCAUUGACGUUACCCGCAGAAGAAGCACCGGCUAACUCCGUGCCAGCAGCCGCGGUAAUACGGAGGGUGCAAGCGUUAAUCGGAAUUA